UCCAUGUAGGUUUCCCAGAGACUAUGGGUUGAGGAGGAAUUGGAAGUUUGUCGGCUUAGACCUGGUGUCAUUCCAUCAGUGUUAAACUUCCCGGCUCAUCUUGGAAGAGUACGUGCCAGAAAGACCACGACCAAGCAGCCUUGAGAUCUUAGACAGCGUCUCCCUGAGACCAAAGAACUACAGACUCUUCACAACCUGCUCAAACUCUUGGUACAGGACCUCACCACACGGGUCAAGAAGGUUUCCAUCUCAUUUCUACUCUGAAGCUCACCUUCUCCUGCUCAAACUACUGACAAAUGUUUCUGCUGCUCUAAAGUCUGGUCUCCAGAACUUCCUAAAAACUCUCAAAGUCUCUUCUGCUGCAGGUUGCUUUGUAGAACUGUUCCAGAAAACCUCACUAAACCACAUGGAGGGGCCUCAAGAUAGUCGUCCAAAUGAAACUGUACAAAAACCAAACUAGUACAACCCAAACGCUAAAGUCUCCUGCAGCCAACAGAGAACCUCUGAGAACAGAGAAUCAGGACAGGAACUCUUACCUUCUGGACAACCAACGUUGGUUCUCAAACAAGAAUACAGAAUGUGUCUGAUCAAAAACCUCUGAAGACUCACUACAGCCAAGAUAAAGACACAACUCAGCUGCAGCAAAUCCACUAAUCACUGCACACAUUAGCACCAUGUGCUAACUGUGGCUAAAGAACCACAUUUACCAAGACAACUAUCCAGUACAAAGCCCUAAAACACACCAAGAAACACAUUAAAGACGAUUUUACUGCUGGAAGCUGCAAGCCAACGCCUAAAGAACACGUAAAGAACGGAGCCAAACCCAUUUCAGUUGGUGAAGAGAAGCAGAGGAAAUGUUUGUCUGCAGCUAAAUAAAGCAGGAAGACACUGAGCUGCUCAGGUGUUCCUGAUAACACCAAGCAGCCACCUGGACAGCCAAUAGGAACACAGCUUACUGGAAGUCCAGAGGGCUGGCUUAGUGAAGGAAAU
ensembl:lncRNA